AUGAACGCACGGAUGAAGCUGGUAGUUUAGGUAGAAGCAUUGAUAGCUGUGAUUCAGGCGUGGCUCAUAUUGAUACACAAGAGAGUCGUUUGUCGUGGUGAUAAGCUUGUCAUCCAUUAUGGCCUAGUGUUAAUCUGGGGCUAGGAGAGGAUGGUUAAUCUAAACUACAUCUACAACUGCAACUACACAGAGGCUUUGUGGAUGUUUUGAAUGAAAAGAUCACCUUUGGCUGGACUUGUGCAGACCUUCAGGAGCAGGAGGAUGCUACAAGAUAGCAUCCACACUAGUGUGGAAGAGCAAGUAGCCAUGUUCCUCCAUGUUAUUGGUCAUAACCAGAGGUUCAGGGUUAUGAACACAUUCAGAAGAUCAAUGGAUACCAUUUCCACGUACUUCAGGCAAGUGUUGUAUACUGUUGGGGAACUCAGAGGAGAGAUGAUCAGGUCACCAACCCGCCGGAUUCCUAUCAAGAUUCGCACUAGCCCAAGAUGGUAUCCAUACUUCAAGGUGAGCACUGACAAUAUGUAG
rnacentral:rRNA from 1 species